rnacentral:rRNA from 1 species
UACGUAGGGGGCUAGCGUUGUCCGGAUUUAUUGGGCGUAAAGAGCGUGUAGGCGGCCAGGUAGGUCUGGUGUGAAAACUCGAGGCUUAACCUCGAGAUGUCAUCGGAAACCAUUUGGCUAGAGUCCGGAAGAGGAGAGUGGAAUUCCUAGUGUAGCGGUGAAAUGCGCAGAUAUCGGGAAGAACACCCGUGGCUAAGGCGGCUCUCUAGUACGGUACUGACGCUGAGACGCGAAAGCGUGGGGAGCGAACAGG